rnacentral:rRNA from 1 species
GACGAACGCUGGCGGCGUGCUUAACACAUGCAAGUCGAACGGAAAGGCCCUGCUUUUGUGGUGUUCUCGAGUGGCGAACGGGUGAGUAACACGUGAGUAACCUGCCCUUGACUUUGGUAUAACUUCAGGAAACUGGGGCUAAUACCGGAUAGGAGCUCCUGCUGCAUGGUGGGGGUUGGAAAGUUUCGGCGGUUGGGGAUGGACUCGCGGCUUAUCAGCUUGUUGGUGGGGUAGUGGCUUACCAAGGCUUUGACGGGUAGCCGGCCUGAGAGGGUGACCGGCCACAUUGGGACUGAGAUACGGCCCAGACUCCUACGGGAGGCAGCAGUGGGGAAUAUUGCACAAUGGGAGGAAGCCUGAUGCAGCAACGCCGCGUGCGGGAUGACGGCCUUCGGGUUGUAAACCGCUUUCGCCUGUGACGAAGCGUGAGUGACGGUAAUGGGUAAAGAAGCACCGGCUAACUACGUG